AUGAAAUAUAGUGAAAUAUUCUUUAGGAAAGCCACAUCUGGGGAACGCGUACUAGCCUGCCUCCAACGUGCGACACUGUCAUUGUUAUGCUUCCCCAAGGAGGAGAAACAAAACUCAAGUGUCAUUAGUGGGGCUGAUAUCCCAUUACAUGGAAGCACCGUAAAGUGUUUCAUCCGAUCUUGGUGGACAUCUGGAUCGUUUCGUGUCUUCUGGCCAUCUCUGCGAAGAACCUCCCAUUCAGCUCUGAGAUUCUGCGAUGUAGGAUUGCUGCAGUAAGGAACGCGGAUGCAUUUGAGGUUCUUGCCAAAACUUUGGAGGCAAGCCCUUAAAAAGGGUUUCCUAUUUCUAUUGUCCCACACUUCGAGUGACAGAACGAUUUCCUCACACUUGAGGCCCGACACUUGCUAUCAAGGUAACAGCUCCUAAGUUGGUACUUAGAAAAGAAGUAUGUUCUUUCCAUCGUUUAUGCAUAUUAAUUAAUGAACUGCAUAACUUGGCAGUCUCAAGAAGGAAGCAUUUGUUAGCCGGUCCACACAUUUCUGUUGAGCUGUUUAGACUUUGUUUUUUUGAGCAAUAAAAAUAAUUUACGUAACAAGGCAUUGACAGGUCCUCAAUAUAGCAAAUGCUCCAUCAGGCAUUAAUGCCCUGAAUAUAGCGAAUAUUUUGUGAUAUUUUAUUCAUCAUUUUCCUUUCAGAUUUGUUUGUUCAACUGCAUUUUUCCCCCAAAGUACAGGAAUUUUUAAACAAGGGACGCCAGGGUGGCUCAGUGGUUGAGCGUCUGCCUUUGGCUCGGGGUGUGAUCCUGGGGUCCCGGGAUCGAGUCCCGCAUCGGGCUCCCUGCAUGGAGCCUGCUUCUCCCUCUGCCUGGGUCUCUGCCUCUCUCUCUGUGUCUCUCAUGAAUAAAUAAAUAAAAUCUUUUAAAAAAUAAGUUUUUAAACGGUUGGUAGCUGCAUCUUUCAGGUUUUCCCAGUUUCCCCCUUGUGUUUGGAAAGCCUUUCUUCAUUCUGAGAUUAUAUAUUUCCCUACCUGCUUUUAUAAUAUUUUUCACUUUUAAAUAUUAAACCGUUAAACAUUUGGAACCUCCCUGACUCUGUGGUAUGAGGUGGAAAUCUCACUUUCUUUGGCCUGAGUGCUAAACCAAUUAUUCUAAUGCCACAGAUUAAUUCAGCAUUUCCCUGGGGCCUGAAGUUCCACUUACAUUUUUCCCUCUGGCCUAUUGAGUGUUUUAUAACAUGUUUUAAUACAACAGUGCAAGUUUCCUAAUUUUCUUCUUACAACCAUGUGUAUUCUUACCCAUUUUUGCCUUGGGAUAAAUUUCACUGGGGACAUCUCGGGGGCUCAGUGGGUUAACCGUUUGCCUUCAGCUCAAGUCAGGACCCCAGAGUUCUGGAACCAAGCUCCACAUCAUGCUCCCUGCUCAGUGGAGAGUCAGCUUCUCCCUCUGUCUCUGUUCCUUUUGUUCUCUCUCGCUGUCUUUCUCUCAAAUAAAUAAAUAAAAUCCUUAAAACUUUUUUCAUUGAAAUAAAUAAAAUCCUUAAAUAAAAUAAAUAAAAUCCUUAAAACUUUUUACAUUG
rnacentral:lncRNA from 1 species